GACGAACGCUGGCGGCGUGCUUAACACAUGCAAGUCGAACGGAAAGGCCCUGCUUGCAGGGUACUCGAGUGGCGAACGGGUGAGUAACACGUGGGUGAUCUGCCCUGCACUUCGGGAUAAGCUUGGGAAACUGGGUCUAAUACCGGGUAGGAGCCAUCUUUAGUGUGGGGGUUGGAAAGUUUUUUCGGUGUAGGAUGAGCUCGCGGCCUAUCAGCUUGUUGGUGGGGUGAUGGCCUACCAAGCCGGCGACGGGUAGCCGGCCUGAGAGGGUGUACGGCCACAUUGGGAGUGAGAUACGGCCCAGACUCCUACGGGAGGCAGCAGUGGGGAAUAUUGCACAAUGGGCGCAAGCCUGAUGCAGCGACGCCGCGUGGGGGAUGAAGGCCUUCGGGUUGUAAACUCCUUUCGCUAGGGACGAAGCUUUGUUGUGACGGUACCUAGAUAAGAAGCACCGGCUAACUACGUG
rnacentral:rRNA from 1 species